GACAGAGGGUGCAAACGUUGUUCGGAAUUACUGGGCGUAAAGCGCGUGUAGGCUGUUCUGAAAGUCGGGUGUGAAAACCCUGGGCUCAACCUAGGAAGUGCACUCGAAACUUCAGAACUCGAGUCCUGGAGAGGAAGGCGGAAUUCUCGGUGUAGAGGUGAAAUUCGUAGAUAUCGAGAGGAACACCGGUGGCGAAGGCGGCCUUCUGGACAGUGACUGACGCUGAGACGCGAAAGCGUGGGGAGCAAACAGG
rnacentral:rRNA from 1 species